CAGCCGCCGCGGGAAUACGUAGGUGGCAAGCGUUGUCCGGAAUUAUUGGGCGUAAAGGGCUCGCAGGCGGUUUCUUAAGUCUGAUGUGAAAGCCCCCGGCUCAACCGUGGAGGGUCAUUGGAAACUGGGAAACUUGAGUGCAGAAGAGGAGAGUGGAAUUCCACGUGUAGCGGUGAAAUGCGUAGAGAUGUGGAGGAACACCAGUGGCGAAGGCGACUCUCUGGUCUGUAACUGACGCUGAGGAGCGAAAGCGUGGGGAGCGAACAGGAUUAGAUACCCCCGUAGUCCCUGUCUCUUAUAC
rnacentral:rRNA from 1 species